rnacentral:rRNA from 1 species
AUUGAGCGCUGGCGGCAUGCCUUACACAUGCAAGUCGAACGGCAGCACGGGUGCUUGCGCCUGGUGGCGAGUGGCGAACGGGUGAGUAAUACAUCGGAACAUGUCCUGUAGUGGGGGAUAGCCCGGCGAAAGCCGGAUUAAUACCGCAUACGAUCUACGGAUGAAAGCGGGGGACCUUCGGGCCUCGCGCUAUAGGGUUGGCCGAUGGCUGAUUAGCUAGUUGGUGGGGUAAAGGCCUACCAAGGCGACGAUCAGUAGAUGGUCUGAGAGGACGACCAGCCACACUGGGACUGAGACACGGCCCAGACUCCUACGGGAGGCAGCAGUGGGGAAUUUUGGACAAUGGGCGAAAGCCUGAUCCAGCAAUGCCGCGUGUGUGAAGAAGGCCUUCGGGUUGUAAAGCACUUUUGUCCGGAAAGAAAUCCUUGGCUCUAAUACAGUCGGGGGAUGACGGUACCGGAAGAAUAAGCACCGGCUAACUACGUG